rnacentral:rRNA from 1 species
CCUACGGGAGGCAGCAGUGGGGAAUAUUGCACAAUGGGGGAAACCCUGAUGCAGCGACGCCGCGUGAAGGAAGAAGUAUUUCGGUAUGUAAACUUCUAUCAGCAGGGAAGAAAAUGACGGUACCUGACUAAGAAGCCCCGGCUAACUACGUGCCAGCAGCCGCGGUAAUACGUAGGGGGCAAGCGUUAUCCGGAUUUACUGGGUGUAAAGGGAGCGUAGACGGCAGCGCAAGUCUGGAGUGAAAUGCCGGGGCCCAACCCCGGAACUGCUUUGGAAACUGUGCAGCUGGAGUGCAGGAGAGGUAA